rnacentral:rRNA from 1 species
UACGUAGGGCGCGAGCGUUGUCCGGAAUUAUUGGGCGUAAAGAGCUCGUAGGCGGCCUGUCGCGUCGGUUGUGAAAGCUCGGGGCUCAACCCCGGGUCUGCAGUCGAUACGGGCAGGCUAGAGUUCGGUAGGGGAGAUCGGAAUUCCUGGUGUAGCGGUGAAAUGCGCAGAUAUCAGGAGGAACACCGGUGGCGAAGGCGGAUCUCUGGGCCGAUACUGACGCUGAGGAGCGAAAGCGUGGGGAGCGAACAGG